rnacentral:rRNA from 1 species
UACGAAGGGGGCUAGCGUUGCUCGGAAUCACUGGGCGUAAAGGGUGCGUAGGUGGUGAGGUAAGUCGGAUGUGAAAUCUCCGAGCUCAACUCGGAAAUUGCAUUGGAAACUACCUUGCUUGAGGGUUGGAGGGGGGACUGGAAUGCUUGGUGUAGCAGUGAAAUGCGUAGAUAUCAAGCGGAACACCAGUGGCGAAGGCGAGUCCCUGGACAACACCUGACACUGAGGCACGAAAGCUAGGGGAGCAAACAGG